GGUUAAGAGUUGACCUAAUCGUCGAGAUGGUUUGGUCCCUGAUUUGAUCAGGGGUUGGGCUUAAUCAAUUUUUGAUUUGAUUAGAAUUUUAUUGAGCCUAAUUAAAUCUAAUUUAGUUGAAUUUAAAUUAGUCUAAUUGGACCUAACUUAUUUGAUUCAAUUAGGUUGGUUUAAAUAAUUAAACCACCUUGACCCAAUCUCCAUGCG
rnacentral:lncRNA from 1 species